GACGAACGCUGGCGGCGUGCCUAAUACAUGCAAGUAGAACGCACAGUUUAUACCGUUGCUUGCUACACCAUAGACUGUGAGUUGCGAACGGGUGAGUAACGCGUAGGUAACCUGCCUGGUAGCGGGGGGUAACUAGUGGAAACGAUAGCUAAUACCUCAUAAUAUUUAUUAUUGCAUGAUAAUUUAUUGAAAUGUGCAAUUGCACCACUACCAGAUGGACCUGCGUUGUAUUAGCUAGUAGGUGAGGUAACGGCUCACCUAGGCGAGGAUACAUAGCCGAACUGCGAGGGUGGUCAGCCACACUGAGACUGAGACACGGCACAGACUCCUACGGGAGGCAGCAAGACGGAAUCGUGGGGAAUGGGCGGAAGACUGAGCGAGAAACGCCGAGUGAGUGAAGAAGGUUUCCGGGUCGGAAAGCACUGUUGUAAGGGAAGAACCGGUGUGAGAGUGGAAAGUACACAGUGUGACGGUAACUUAUAAGAAAGGGACGGCUAACUACGUG
rnacentral:rRNA from 1 species